AGUAACACGUGGGAAUCUGCCUCUUUGUGGGGAACAAACUCCGAGAAAUCGGAGCUAAUACCGCAUAAGCUCUUUUGUAAAAGGAAGAGGAAAGCCUUUCGGGGCGCAGAGAGAGGAGCCUGCGGCUGAUUAGCUAGUUGGUGGGGUAAAAGCCUACCAAGGCUGUGAUCAGUAGCUGGUCUGAGAGGACAAACAGCCACACUGGGACUGCGAUACGGCCCAG
rnacentral:rRNA from 1 species